ACGAACGCUGGCGGCAUGCCUAAGACAUGCAAGUCGAACGGUAAGGCCCUUUCGGGGGUACACGAGUGGCGAACGGGUGAGUAACACGUGGGUAAUCUGCCCUGCACUUCGGGAUAAGCCUGGGAAACCGGGUCUAAUACCGGAUAUGAGCUCCUGCCGCAUGGUGGGGGUUGGAAAGUUUUUCGGUGCAGGAUGAGUCCGCGGCCUAUCAGCUUGUUGGUGGGGUAAUGGCCUACCAAGGCGACGACGGGUAGCCG
rnacentral:rRNA from 1 species